GAUGAACGCUAGCGGCAGGCUUAAUACAUGCAAGUCGAGGGGCAGCAGGUUUGUAGCAAUACAGAUGCUGGCGACCGGCAAACGGGUGCGGAACACGUGCAGAACCUUCCUUUAAGCGGGGAAUAGCCCAGAGAAAUUUGGAUUAAUACCCCAUAAUAUAUUGAAAAGGCAUCUUUUUAAUAUUAAAGAUUUAUCACUUGAAGAUGGCUGUGCGGCUGAUUAGGUAGUUGGCGGGGUAACGGCCCACCAAGCCUGCGAUCAGUAACUGGUGUGAGAGCACGACCAGUCACACGGGCACUGAGACACGGGCCCGACUCCUACGGGAGGCAGCAGUAAGGAAUAUUGGUCAAUGGACGCAAGUCUGAACCAGCCAUGCCGCGUGGAGGAUGAAGGUCCUCUGGAUUGUAAACUUCUUUUAUCUGGGACGAAAAAAGGCUUUUCUAAGUCGUCUGACGGUACCAGAUGAAUAAGCACCGGCUAACUCCGUGCCAGCAGCCGCCGUAACAC
rnacentral:rRNA from 1 species